AACACACCAAUACGUCAAAGAGUUUCGUCGUCCAACAUCUGGUCGUCCUUCGUCGCUCCCUUGCGCUCGCCCCGCACGCACAGCUAAAACUGGGCCAGGCCCAACUAAACCCAACUAACCCUAUUUGCUCCCCUAUCUCUAACCAUGAAGGCAGAGAGGUUCACCUGCGCACCCCUGACCACCAACACCGCCGGCUCCCCCUCUGGAUCCCCGUCUCCACCGGCGCCCCCUGGAUCCCCGUCUCCACCGGCGUCCCCUUUAUCCCCAACACCAUUGUCGCCCCUUUGAUCUCCGUCUCCACCGCCGCCCCCUUGAUCCCCAACACCAUCGCCUUACCCUGCCCGCUCUCUAGAUCCCCAUCUCCAUCGGCGCCCCUUUGAUCUCCGUCUCCACCGCCCCCUUGAUCCACAACAUCAUCGCCUCAACCUGCCCGAGGCACCGCACACACCCUAUUUGAAGGCUUGAAUCGAGUUUGCCUGCCUGGGUUCUUCGGAGGCCGUCGCGGUAGUGACGAGGUUGUCAUUGAUCUGCGGGGAGGUGUGCGACAAGGACGGCGCCACGGCCUCCACCGGCUUCCAUGGAGUCGCCAUCUCGUGUGUUUCCGCGGCCCUUGAGGCAUCCCCUUUUGAGGAUGACGGUGCAGCUUUGGAGAUGUUUGGCCAAGCCAUUCCCAACCUGGAUCUGAUUUCCAGCCAUGCUUGGUCUGCAUCCAUGCCUGAUUCAAGCCAUGCUUUUUUCGGCAUCAACCUACUUGCUUCACCUGUGAUGUUUGGCGAUUGGAUGCAAAGCUGGGCACAGGUAAGAAAGACGCACCAUUUGUGGCCUUUGUAUUGCCCUGCACCUUUGCAAAUGAUGAUUGAAAGAAUAGAUGCAUUUCCGGUUAAAUCAUUACAAUCGCCAAACUGUUAAAGAAUCGUGCUAUUUAUUAAAAAUAACCCAAUUGUCAAAAAUGUAUUAUCUAUUUAAGAACCUGGAACAACUAAAUGAUUAUUUGAACCUGAACUAAAAUCAUUUUAUGUGCAAUAUGGUUGUUAUUUAUUUUGUCAUCUUUGGCAUUAUAGUUGCUAUUUAUUUUGUGGCACCAAAAUUCAUGCUAUUAUGUAGCUUUUGAUGGCUAGCUCACAUCUCUUCCAUCUAGAGGGAUUCUGUGCUCCAGUCGUCGCUACCGUGGCCUCACUAUACUGCCGCCGCGCAAGGAAACCCUAGCCGCAUCGAGCUUGCAUUGACGCGCCCGCCUCCGAUGCACUCCGCAUCCACAGCUGCCACCUCGAGGUCAGCCUCAGAUGGAUAGCCUACCUGUAGGUGGUUCGGCUGCGGAGCUUCACUCAAGGUUGACAUCGCCGAGGAGCCCCCAAUUCCUUGCCUGGUUCUCGGAUGCGGAGGAUGGAGGACGGAACCAUACGGUAAUCUCCGCCCUGGGCCUAUACGGUAUUGCCUCGUAUUAUCAUGUGUUCCUUUCUGUUUACGGGGUUGGUUGUGACCCUGUGUGUUGUCCGCUUCUUCAGUGAAUAUAAUCUAUACUAUACCUGGACGUGGUAAGCUGUGAUUUCCCUAAUCCUUGAGGCGGAAUUUUCCAUACAUCUUCCAGCAAAGCCGCAAGGUGGAAUUCGUUGAUGAUGCAACUGCCAGUGGCGACGCGGAGGAUGCUGACCGUCUGCCAAUGCUGGUGGGCAUCUCACAUGGCGCCACCGUCUCCAGUGAAGACCUCCGCCUCCUCCUCGCCAUCCUCUUCUGGGACCAUUUCAACACCUCCAAUCUGCCGUGCCACCACCCCAGUACCGCCACACCACCACGGCACCACCUAGAGGACCUACUUUGCCUCCCUAUCUUCUCAUAAGGAAUUGAGUUAUUUCAAAUCCGUAGUAUAUGUGAAGGAAAGUAUUGCAAGGCUUCCCAAUGUGAACAGGGUAUUUGAUUCUAUCAAAAAAAAGAAGGCUUGGCGGACAGUCAAUACCACUCCAUGGCAAUGCUCUUCAGAAGGGUAUUACUUUAGUCACUAAAUUUGGAACCUCCUUUGUUUAUUCUAACAACUGGAUGAUAAAAUCAUCUACGUACGUAUUUGUAGUGAUCUUUUUCACUAAAGCUUCAUGUUUUUACUCUUAGUCAGCAUGGCAUGAGUUUCUCUUUCUUUGCGCUUUCAGUACUUCUCCAAUCAUCAGUUCUGAAACCAUAAAACUCCAUUUUUCCUAAAUAUGCGACGUUUUGGGAGUUCAAAUAUUUAUGAACGGAGUGUGCUAAUUAAGAAUUGUUGAGUUCAAGUUAUGUCUGAAUCUAGGAUCAAUGGGUCUGUGCCCACAUAACUUGUGUGAUAAAUUGCUUGCUUGUGUUAUCUCUUUUGACUUUCUUCAUCUUCUUUUGAGAGAAAUAUUUGAAUUUCUCUCUACAUAAUUACUAUAAACGGUGCUAAAAUCCUAUUCACAAAAAAAGCCUAGAAAGAACCCUUCGACUGAGGUUUUGCUGUACAUUCAAUUAUAGAGUAUGCUCGUGUAGUGGGAGAGUUUUCAUAAUGCUUAAUAUAAUUUGUUAUUUUGUAUUAUAUUUAUGUUACUUUCUAAGUUACAAUAAUUGUUUCAUGCUCCGCUCAUCUAUCAAUGUGUUCUGAAAGAAGAUGUAUUUCAAUUAUUCCAAAACUUGAGAAUAAAAAUAUCACUACUGUUUUUUUUGCGGGAAAAUAUCACUACUGUUUUCUGAUCAACUUGCUGGGUAAUGGUAAGAUGGAUGGUUUCAAGGAAAAUAUGAAAGAACUGAUGUGCUGCCAAGUUGUUAAAAUUUUAGUCUGGGACAAUGAAAAAUGUAUGCAUGUCCAGAGGCAGAAUCAAAGACAAACCCCAAUCAGAUAUUAUCAGAUAGAAAAGUAGAAAUGUACUCUAGAUGAAACAUUCGGAAGACAUCAUCUAGGCUUAGUUUCAGAGGAGCGGACCAAAAAAAUUGGAGCUCCUUCUUUGUUUAUUCUAGCAACUGGAUUAUAAAAUUAUACUCGUAUAUAUUUAUGUAUUUGUAGUGAUGUUUAGCAGGAAAUUGUUACUGUUGUUUUACUAAAGCUUCAUGCUCUUACUCUUAGUCGGCAUGGCAUGAGUUUCUCUGUUUUUACACUUUCAGAACUUCUCCAAUCAUCAGCCCUGAAACCAUAAACUCCAUUUAGGAUUUUGUAAUACUUUACUAAUGAUUUCAUGGAGCAGUUGCACAGCGUUCCGCAGGUCGCAUCCGGCCUACCACCAAGGCAUCCUCACAUCGAGAUGUUGUCCGGGGAUGUGCCCACGAGGCUGGGUCUUUGUGUCCUUCCUCAACCUCAGCAUUGACGCGACUUGACCUGGACGUUGUCAAACCGAGCUCUGAUGAUACCAACAACGACUGGAAGCAUCCGGUGACGAGAUGAGUAUGCUUCUCGUGAUGUGUAUGCACAUGUGCCUUCGCUGCACUGAACUCGUUCUGCAUAUAUGUGCUUGCAAGAAAGGGCAACUAAUAUGUUUCUAUUUGUUAGAGAGCUCUGAAUAAUAUUAUUAUUUCGUCCUCUUAUAGAAUUUGCUCUCCUUACUCUUUGAUGCUUUCAUGAUUAAUAAUGUCUCUUCAUGAUUAUGUUUACAUACGAUGGAUGCGUCAAUGAAAAUUUUCAGCUGAAGCUCCUGGUCCUCAAAGGUUACUGCUCUUUUUCAUAGGGACAUUGAUUCUUUCAAGAUAUAAUUGCUUGGAAACUGGGAACUUUGUAGAUCGUUUUUUUUCCUUCAAAAUGGAGGGGGUACCCCUGGCCUCUGCAUCGACUUUGUAGAUCGGGAUGUCUUUGGCGUGGCACUAGACACAAAAUAAAAUCUAGACAAUCUCUAGGUGUUGAAGAAAUGAUGCAAUCAGGUGAACACUGCUCAAAAGGUCAAGACCAAUGAAAGGUCUUCCUGUUACUUGCGCAGGAGGAAGCGAGCUCCAGCAGCGGCGGAGCACAGGUUCCAGUAGCGGUCGCGAGAGGCGGCGAGCUCCAGCAGCAGCGGCGGAGCGAGGGAGGACUCGGCUCGCCAGCCCGCUGGCGCGAGAGGUUGCCGGUGCCAAGGGCGGGAGGCCCGCUGGCGCGAGGCUGCAAGGAGCGCAGGAUUCCACCAGCGGGAACCUGCGAGCUCCACCGGGAGGCACGCCGGUGUGAGCCUGCGACGAGCGUGGGAGUCCGCCGGCGGGAAGAUGCGACCGCGAGCGAGACUGUCUGCCAGCGGGUGGCUGCGAUCCAUUGGGGGCUUUCCAAAAUAAGAAGGGUGAAAAUGAAAAAAUAGUUUUGAACUACACCUCCGACACCUAAAUCGUGACUGAGGGAGUAGAUUAUUUUGCAACAUUAUACGGCAAUCCCUUUCUAUCAUGGAAAUUUGCAUGUGUAUUAUUUUUACAUGUGCAGAAAAACAUUUGUAUUGUUUCCCGUGGCAAUCCAUGAGGACUGUCAAAGCUCAACUUGGCGAUAUCAGAGUCAGACAUGCUACAAUUUAGCGCAGUAAGAAGCUAGGAAAUUGGAGACCUGUACAUUACCAACUCGUAAAUUACUGCAUGGUAAUGGAGUUUGUUUCGAGGCAA